AAGGGCACCACAAGAACGCGUGGAGCAUGUGGCUUAAUUUGACUCAACGCGGGAAAUCUUACCGGGUCCGGACACACUGAGGAUUGACAGGUAUUUUGUAAUAGGUUAAUGAAGAGAAAAAUUUUUUUAUUUUUUUUUUCAUCCUGUUACUACUAAAUAUGCUAGUCCUUUCAUGAUUGUGUGAUAGGUGGUGCAUGGCCGUUCUUAGUUCGUGGAGUGAUCUGUCUGCUUAAUUGCGUUUCAUAUUUGGACUUUACAGUAAUGGUUUCGUGUAAAAAAGCUUAUUUGUAUUUUACAAGAUUUUGUUAUUGUUAUUUUAUUUAAUCUAAUUAAAUUUAAUAUACAUCAAAAACCCUUGUUUUACUAAAUAAUGUUCUUUUUUGCGAUUCCAUGUUAGAGUCCUGAAGGCAACGAACGUGACCGCAACCUCUUGUUACCUCUUUUUUUUUUUUAAAUUUUUUUUUAAAAAAAACAGCUAAGAAUUUUUUUUUAGGAAAAAAUUUAUAUAGUAAGAGAAUGGGUUUCGGCUUAUUUUUUUUUAUUAUGUAUAUUUUUUUUCUAAAAAUGUUUUUAUCCUGCAUGGAGGAAAACUAGAGGGACCGCUGCGAAAAACUUAAACCAGAGGAAGGAUGCGGCAAUAACAGGUCUGUGAUGCCCUUAGAUGUUCCGGGCUGCACACGUGCUACAAUGAUUAUUGCAGUGAGCAUCUUACAAAGUUCGUGUGCAGUGAUAUUAAUUUUUUUCGAAAAGUUAGUAUCAUUUUUGCAUAUUUUUUUCCUUUUUUUUCCCUCAAAAGAAAGAAAAGGAAACGACUAGCCUGCUUCGAAAGUAAGUAGGUAAUCAAUUCGAAAUAAUGAUUUACUUUGCACAACAAAAUGUAUUUAUUGGAUUAAAUUGUUAUUUAGGAUUCGUCUUAAGUAAUAUUUCAUUUCAGUAUAAUGCAUGUGCUUAUUUAAUUCAUGGUGGGGACAGACCAUUGAUAAUUGUUGGUCUCGGUCUUAACUAGGAAUGCCUUGUACGGGUCUUUGGUUCAACAGACCACCCGGAAUACGUCCCUGCCCUUUGUACACACCGCCCGUCGCUCUUACCGAUGGACUUCUCUGUGAGUUUAAGGGACUUGAAAUUUAUUUCUAUGGAAACUUAAACGAACAGUGUGGUCUAAAGGAAAGAGAAGUCGUAACAAGGCAUCGGUAGGUGAACCUGCAGAAGGAUCA
rnacentral:rRNA from 1 species